rnacentral:rRNA from 1 species
GACGAACGCUGGCGGCGUGCCUAAUACAUGCAAGUAGAACGCUGAAGAGAGGAGCUUGCUCUUCUUGGAUGAGUUGCGAACGGGUGAGUAACGCGUAGGUAACCUGCCUUGUAGCGGGGGAUAACUAUUGGAAACGAUAGCUAAUACCGCAUAACAAUGGAUGACACAUGUCAUUUAUUUGAAAGGGGCAAUUGCUCCACUACAAGAUGGACCUGCGUUGUAUUAGCUAGUAGGUGAGGUAACGGCUCACCUAGGCGACGAUACAUAGCCGACCUGAGAGGGUGAUCGGCCACACUGGGACUGAGACACGGCCCAGACUCCUACGGGAGGCAGCAGUAGGGAAUCUUCGGCAAUGGGGGCAACCCUGACCGAGCAACGCCGCGUGAGUGAAGAAGGUUUUCGGAUCGUAAAGCUCUGUUGUAAGUCAAGAACGAGUGUGAGAGUGGAAAGUUCACACUGUGACGGUAGCUUACCAGAAAGGGACGGCUAACUACGUGCCAGCAGCCGCGGUAAUACGUAGGUCCCGAGCGCUGUCCGGAUUUAUUGGGCGUAAAGCGAGCGCAGGCGGUUUGAUAAGUCUGAAGUUAAAGGCUGUGGCUCAACCAUAGUUCGCUUUGGAAACUGUCAAACUUGAGUGCAGAAGGGGAGAGUGGAAUUCCAUGUGUAGCGGUGAAAUGCGUAGAUAUAUGGAGGAACACCGGUGGCGAAAGCGGCUCUCUGGUCUGUAACUGACGCUGAGGCUCGAAAGCGUGGGGAGCGAACAGGAUUAGAUACCCUGGUAGUCCACGCCGUAAACGAUGAGUGCUAGGUGUUGGAUCCUUUCCGGGAUUCAGUGCCGCAGCUAACGCACUAAGCACUCCGCCUGGGGAGUACGACCGCAAGGUUGAAACUCAAAGGAAUUGACGGGGGCCCGCACAAGCGGUGGAGCAUGUGGUUUAAUUCGAAGCAACGCGAAGAACCUUACCAGGUCUUGACAUCCCGAUGCUAUUUCUAGAGAUAGAAAGUUACUUCGGUACAUCGGUGACAGGUGGUGCAUGGUUGUCGUCAGCUCGUGUCGUGAGAUGUUGGGUUAAGUCCCGCAACGAGCGCAACCCCUAUUGUUAGUUGCCAUCAUUCAGUUGGGCACUCUAGCGAGACUGCCGGUAAUAAACCGGAGGAAGGUGGGGAUGACGUCAAAUCAUCAUGCCCCUUAUGACCUGGGCUACACACGUGCUACAAUGGUUGGUACAACGAGUUGCGAGUCGGUGACGGCAAGCUAAUCUCUUAAAGCCAAUCUCAGUUCGGAUUGUAGGCUGCAACUCGCCUACAUGAAGUCGGAAUCGCUAGUAAUCGCGGAUCAGCACGCCGCGGUGAAUACGUUCCCGGGCCU